rnacentral:rRNA from 1 species
UACGGAGGGGGCGAGUGUUGUUCGGAAUUACUGGGCGUAAAGGGCGCGCAGGCGGCAUGGCAAGUCGAGUGUGAAAUCCCUUGGCUUAACUGAGGAAUGGCGCUCGAAACUGCCUCGCUAGAGGGCGGGAGAGGGGCGUGGAAUUCCCGGUGUAGCGGUGAAAUGCGCAGAUAUCAGGAGGAACACCCGUGGCGAAGGCGGCCCCCUGGGCCGAACCUGACGCUGAGGCGCGAAGGCUAGGGGAGCGAACGGG